rnacentral:rRNA from 1 species
UUUUUGUAAAUAAUUUAAAGUCUAGUCUGCCCACUGAAAAUUUUUAAAGGGCUGCAGUAUUUUGACUGUACAAAGGUAGCAUAAUCAUUUGUCUCUUAAUUGGUGACUUGUAUGAAAGAUUGGAUGAAAUAUAAACUGUCUCAUUAUAAUUAGUAAAAUUUAAUUUUUUAGUAAAAAAGCUAAGAUAAUUUUAAAAGACGAGAAGACCCUAUAGAGUUUAAUAAUUAUUAUUAUGUUAGAAAAAUGUAAAAUUUUAAAUUAAAAUAAUAUUAAUUAUUUUGUUGGGGUGACAAAAAAAUAAAUUAAACUUUUUUUAUAAGGUUUACAUAUAUGAAUGAAUAAAUGAUCCAUUUUUAGUGAUUAAAAGAAAAAAUUACCUUAGGGAUAACAGCGUAAUUUUUUUUUUUAGGCCAUAUAAGAAAAAGAGUUUGCGACCUCGAUGUUGGAUUAAGAUAAAAUUUAAAUGUAAAAGUUUAAAAUUUUGAUCUGUUCGAUCAUUAAAA